GAUUGCUGUGACGACUCUAAAAUUCAAGCUCAACAGACCUGAUUGCAGGUCUCUCUUUCUCUACUAAGAAUGAGGGAUUUGCAUGUCGAAUACCCCGCUGAACUGAGCAAUC